GUAAAAAUCAAAAAACUUAAUUUUCACGUUAUUCUGUUUUUGCUUUAAAACAGAAUAACAGCUACAAAAUGUGUGAUUUUGUGUUAUUCUGUUUUUCCGUAUUUCCGUUCUGGUUUUAAAACAAAAUAACAGAAAAACAAAGUAGUUUUUUAAAUGAUUUAUUACUAUUAUUAUUAAUUCUUAUUUUAAUUUGGUUCUGAAACGGGAAAACCAAAGAACGAAGGGUACACGGAUUCAUGACAACCGUUGAGCCUCGAGCAGUACUGUUUGAGUUGUAAAAUGUAAAUCAUGUAAUAUGGCGACUGUUACAGUUGUUUAUUGUAUUCAUUUUUAAUGUGUAGGGCAAGGAGCUGUACAGCAGAUCACCACCAGUAAUUUUAUUGUGUUUUUUUAAUUAUUCAACUGAUGUGCUGCGCUGCUAAAUAAUCUGCUGUGCUGUGAACCCAAGGAAAAGUCGUUGAGUGAUCUCUUCAGUCUGCUGAGGUUGAGCUGAAUAGAUGAGGUACAUCAUGCACUAUGGCACAUGGGAUGGAUGGGCAUCGGUUGAGAAGGCAUUUGGUGAGGUGAUCAUGGUCAAAGAAGUCCUCAUACACAAAUACUGCUGAAAGAUUAAAGUAAUGAAAUGCUCUGCAUUGUUGUGCAGCUGUGUGGAACACUGUUAGACACUUCUUUUAAGAAGUUUCACUGAGAAGAGACACAUUAAUAAACUGUCUUUACACUACCAGCUGAAAUAGUCAGUUGUUACAGGUUGGUUAAGGCAAUCUGCAUUUUUUUCUGAAGACAUCACUGUUGUCAGAAAUGUUAAAUGUUAUCAUGAUUCUGUGCAAACUGUGCUUUAUAAAGUGCUGCUGUGUUGUAUACUAAAGAUGGUGAUUUGAAUAAAGGUCUUUUUUCAUUUCAUUGCUCAUUUUUGUUUCCAAAGGAG
rnacentral:lncRNA from 1 species